AUUGCACGCUAGCGGGAUGCUUUACACAUGCAAGUCGAACGAGUGGCGGACGGGUUAGUACUAUAUCGGAACGUGCCCAGUAGCGGGGGAUAACUACUAGAAAGAGUGGCUAAUACCGCCUACUAUUGGAGAGGCCGAAAUCGGAUUAGCUAGUUGGUGGGGUAAAGGCUCACAAAGGCAACGAUCCGUAGCUGGUUGGAGAGGACGAACAGCCACAAUGGGACUGAGACACGGCCCAGACUCCUACGGGAGGCAGCAGUGGGGAAUUGUGGACAAUGGGGGAAACCCUGAUCCAGCCAUCCCGCGUGUAUGAGAAGGCCUUCGGGUUGUAAAGUACUUUUGGCAGAGAAGCGGUAUCUGCAGAAUAAGCACCGGCUAACUACGUGCCAGCAGCCGCGGUAAUUC
rnacentral:rRNA from 1 species